UCUGUUUGCAGAGUGGCUUACGUGAGAUCACUGUGUAAGAGCCCGAUUCGCACUCAGCACGUGGCAGCUCUCCAUCAUUGAUCACGGGAAGGUUGGUGGGUACAGGGUAAUCGUGUCCCUGCAGAAGGUUGAAGUGGAAGAGUGUGGGCUUCAAAGUUAGAAUCCACCACUUUCCCACCUUGCCUGGGAAAUGUCACUUAACCUCUAUGCCUCAGUUUCCCUGUCUUUGAAGCAGAAAUUGUGCCAUCUCUUGGUCACGGGACACUCUAUGAGCCAGGCUGAGUGCUGAGCUUGCUACACAGGUGUGUACUGAUGCCCAGCUCCUGGGUCCUCCGCGGAGCCAGAGGUGACAUCAGACACGGGCAGGCCUUGUGCCCAGGAAGCUCAGGGUGUAGCACUCUCACUUGGUCAUCCAGUGGGACCAUCGUGGGGUGACCCAGGGCAUCCCAGGCCAGCUCUCUGUGUGGAAGGCCAUCUCUCCCCUUUCUCACCUGCGUACUCACUGCUGCAGCAAAUGGCAACCUCUCUGGGAGAAAUCACAGUCUGAGAUGCAAACUCAUCGUAGUGACAGGGCCAGAAGCAAGGCGCUGACCUCGAGGUUAUGAAGUUUUUAAUUGGUUUUCAUGUGAGCCCAGUCACACAGAUUGGACACAUCUGACAUGGGCGACUGCUGUCGAGUUAGCAGAUCGAUUCCGGACGGCCGGAGUGUGAGGAACAUCACGGUCAGCAGCGGCUGCAGCAGGACGCAGGGCCGGCUCUGCUCACGACGGUGGGCCCUAAUCCCACAGCACCAGGUCCUUAUCAGAAGAGGAGGUUAGGACACAGCCAUGCACAGGGGGACAAGCGUAAGAGGACACAGGGAGAAGGUGGCCAUCUGCAAGCCAAGGAGAGAGGCCUCGGGAGACCCAGCCCUGCGACACUUUGGUCUCAGACUUCCAGCCUCCAGGACGGGAAGCCAAUAAAUGUCUGCUGUGUAAGCCA